AGUGAACGCUGGCGGUAGGCCUAACACAUGCAAGUCGAACGGCAGCACAGUAAGAGCUUGCUCUUACGGGUGGCGAGUGGCGGACGGGUGAGGAAUACAUCGGAAUCUACUUUUUCGUGGGGGAUAACGUAGGGAAACUUACGCUAAUACCGCAUACGACCUACGGGUGAAAGCAGGGGAUCUUCGGACCUUGCGCGAUUGAAUGAGCCGAUGUCGGGUUAGCUAGUUGGCGGGGUAAAGGCCCACCAAGGCGACGAUCCGUAGCUGGUCUGAGAGGAUGAUCAGCCACACUGGAACUGAGACACGGUCCAGACUCCUACGGGAGGCAGCAGUGGGGAAUAUUGGACAAUGGGCGCUAGCCUGAUCCAGCCAUACCGCGUGGGUGAAGAAGGCCUUCGGGUUGUAAAGCCCUUUUGUUGGGAAAGAAAAGCAGCAGGUUAAUACCCCGCUGUUCUGACGGUACCCAAAGAAUAAGCACCGGCUAACUUCGUG
rnacentral:rRNA from 1 species